rnacentral:rRNA from 1 species
UACGAAGGGUGCAAACGUUGCUCGGAAUUAUUGGGCGUAAAGCGCACGUAGGCGGCUUGGCAAGUCGGAUGUGAAAUCCCUCGGCUCAACCAAGGAAGUGCAUCCGAAACUGCCGAGCUUGAGUACUUAAGAGGAUCGCGGAAUUCCCGGUGUAGAGGUGAAAUUCGUAGAUAUCGGGAGGAACACCGGUGGCGAAGGCGGGUCUCUGGGCCGAUACUGACGCUGAGGAGCGAAAGCGUGGGGAGCGAACAGG